rnacentral:rRNA from 1 species
AUACGUAGGGGGCAAGCGUUAUCCGGAUUUACUGGGUGUAAAGGGAGCGUAGACGGAAGGCCAAGUCUGAUGUGAAAGCCCGCGGCUCAACUGCGGGACUGCAUUGGAAACUGGUCAUCUGGAGUGCAGGAGGGGUAAGCGGAAUUCCUAGUGUAGCGGUGAAAUGCGUAGAUAUUAGGAGGAACACCGGUGGCGAAGGCGGCUUGCUGGACUGUAUCUGCCGUUGGGGCUCGAAAGCGUGGGGGGCACACAGGAUUAGAUUCCCUGGUGGUCCACGCCGUAAACGAUGAAUACUAGGUGUCGGGUUUCUAUAGAGAUUCGGUGCCGCAGCAAACGCAAUAAGUAUUCCACCUGGGGAGUACGUUCGCAAGAAUGAAACUCAAAUGAAUUGACGGGG